GCCACCUGAGGGUUGCUCUCGGGCAGCCACAGGUGUUGGCCCCUGGAAAUCAGCUGGGUCUUUGUGGAAAUUUAAGGGGAUCCGAGGGACCAUCAGAGGAGGCUACAUUCAAUAAGAAGGAAACCACCAGGAUGAGAUCCUGCCCGGAGAAAGCCACGUUUCUCCCACCAGGUGGACGGUGACUGAUGGCAGCAGGAGCUCCUGAGAAUACACUCUGCUUCCCCUUUGCCUGUUCUCGGCUGAAUCGGGUAUAACCCUCAUCUCUCUGAGGACAUCUCUGGCAGGAAGUGACAGCCCCCAUGUGCCUGGUGGAAUACACCAAGGACCCUGGCCUGGAAGGAAGUCUUGCAGACGCUACUAUUCAAUUUCGAAUGAGCAUAUGGGUGCCCUGAGAUCUUGCCAGAAUGCAGAUCUGGCUCAGGAUGGCUGGGCAUGAAGAGUGGCUCCAGCACACACUGCGGAUCAAAGAAGAUGUACUUUCUGCCCUCGAGAAACCCCUGGUCCAGAGGGAGAAAUAUGCAGAGGAGGAAAAGUUUAUUCAAGGGCUCACAGUUUCAGAAGUCUUAGUCCAUAGAAGUCUGCUCCAUUCCUCAGGGCUUGAGGUGAGGCUGAACAUCUUUUUUUUUUUAAUUUUUAAUUUUUUUUAUUGGUUGUUCAAAACAUUACAAAGCUCUUGACAUAUCAUAUUUCAUACAUUUGAUUCAAU